CUCACCUGGGAAUAGAUCUCCGGGAGGAACUCGCCUAAGGAGAAGCUCUCACCUGACAGGAAAGUUUUCACCAGCUAGGAUGCAGUGGAAUGGGUGCGAGGACGAUCCUCAGAGACUCUUGGCAUUGCCGGCUCACAGAGAUCUUCGAGCCCCGUGGCCCCUCCUCUGAGGGCCCAGCGGCCAGAAGGGCCGGAGCGCACAAUCCCGGACCAGUUGCAUCCCUGGGUGGACCCAGGCCCCAGCUACGGACACUCUUGCAGCCACGUCCCGGGCCCAAACGCGCCGUACCGGCGCACCUCCUGGGCCGGGGCUCCUCCGCACACAGCCGCCGGGAGGCGGCCCCCGGCUAGCCCUCGGACGGCGCUCGAGCGGCUUUCCGCACAGCCCGCAGGGGCUGGGGUCGCGCCGGCUCCCGCCCCAUCCCUCGCUACGGUUGGGCAGUCGC